GACGAACGCUGGCGGCGCGCCUAACACAUGCAAGUCGAACGAGCGAGAGAGAGCUUGCUUUCUCGAGCGAGUGGCGAACGGGUGAGUAACGCGUGAGGAACCUGCCUCAAAGAGGGGGACAACAGUUGGAAACGACUGCUAAUACCGCAUAAGCCCACGGUGCCGCAUGGCACAGAGGGAAAAGGAGCAAUCCGCUUUGAGAUGGCCUCGCGUCCGAUUAGCUAGUUGGUGAGGUAAUGGCCCACCAAGGCGACGAUCGGUAGCCGGACUGAGAGGUUGAACCGCCACAUUGGGACUGAGACACGGCCCAGACUCCUACGGGAGGCAGCAGUGGGGAAUAUUGCACAAUGGGGGAAACCCUGAUGCAGCGACGCCGCGUGGAGGAAGAAGGUCUUCGGAUUGUAAACUCCUGUUGUUGGGGAAGAUAAUGACGGUACCCAACAAGGAAGUGACGGCUAACUACGUG
rnacentral:rRNA from 1 species